GAAUGGCAGGCCUGUUCCCCUGGGUGUCCCAUGCCACAGCAAACUGUGGCCCUGAAUAGUUGCCUGGCCUCUGCCUGUAGGAUGCUGGCACUGAAGUGGGUUGCACAGUG
ensembl:snoRNA